AGCUUUGCGCAGUGGCAGUAUCAUAGCCAAUGAGGUUUAUCCGAGGCGCGAUUAUUGCUAAUUGAAUUCUAAUAUUAAAACCAAUCCACAAACUGACUACCCCGAUUAAGAAAUAUAUCACAUAAUUGUUGAAGAGCCCUAUGUUC
ensembl:snRNA U4 U4 spliceosomal RNA